rnacentral:rRNA from 1 species
AUUGAACGCUGGCGGCAUGCUUUACACAUGCAAGUCGAACGGCAACGAGGAGAAGCUUGCUUCUCUGUCGGCGAGUGGCGAACGGGUGAGUAUAGCAUCGGAACGUGCCAAGUAGUGGGGGAUAACCAAACGAAAGUUUGGCUAAUACCGCGUAAGCUCCAAGGAGGAAAGUAGGGGACCUAAAUAAGGCCUUACGCUAUUUGAUCGGCCGAUGUCGGAUUAUCUAGUUGGUGGGGUAAUGGCUCACCAAGGCAAUGAUCCGUAGCGGGUCUGAGAGGACGAUCCGCCACACUGGGACUGAGACACGGCCCAGACUCCUACGGGAGGCAGCAGUGGGGAAUUUUGGACAAUGGGGGAAACCCUGAUCCAGCCAUGCCGCGUGUAUGAAGAAGGCCUUAGGGUUGUAAAGUACUUUUGUUAGGGAAGAAAAGCUAGUUUUUAAUAAAAAUUAGUGAUGACGGUACCUAAAGAAUAAGCACCGGCUAACUACGUG